AUUAACAUCACAUCACGUUUGUUCACAUUUACGUUACCUUGAGGAGUACAUUUUCUGUUGAAUACAGGUUUUGCAGCUGCUGCUGAUAGUGUCAUGAAAAGGUGUCGUAUAAGGACCAGCGAUUACAGAAGAAUUGUCAACAAGGCCGUUCGCUACAUACUUCGUUUGACUACGGAUUACUCCUUUUACCAGAUCAAAAUAGAGGGCUCAAGGCGGGUGUGAUAGGUCAACAGAAGAUACAUACUCCUCCUAGACACGUGAUCUUACGUCUGGUAGACAAUUUCCUAGAGGAAAUGAUAGAGAAUGAUUGCAACACUAGGAAACAAAGAGAAACUUGCAUCAGAGGCAACAUUAGAAGAAACACUAAACAGGUUCAGGGUCUACCACUGUACAAUUAGCUGAAUCUAACAUAGAACCACCAGGAUACGAACUGCAAAUUGAUAUUAUGAAACCGCGUGAUUCAACGGGGACUUUAAACCACGCCAAGGCAAAAUAUGGGACAGCAAGCGUAUCAAAAUACGAAUGUACUAAAAUUUAUUCCAUUUGUAUUCAA